AAGUUUAAGUUAACCAAAACCCAGGACCUUCAAAGUCCUAAAUAGGGGCCACACCCUAACUUCUG
rnacentral:tRNA from 1 species